ensembl:misc_RNA Metazoa_SRP Metazoan signal recognition particle RNA
GCCGGGCGCGGUGGCUCGUGCCUGUAAUCCCAGCACUUUGGGAGGCCGAGGCGGGCGGAUCACCUGAGGUCAGGAGUUCGAGACUAGCCUGACCAACAUGGAGAAACCCCGUUUCUA